GACGAACGCUGGCGGCGUGCUUAACACAUGCAAGUCGACCGAAGUGGCGAACGGGUGAGUAACGCGUAAUCAACCUGCCCUUCAGAGGGGGACAACAGUUGGAAACGACUGCUAAUACCGCAUACUGACGGAGGGGAUUGCGUCUGAUUAGCUAGUUGGAGGGGUAACGGCCCACCACGUCGCUGAUCAGGAGCCGCGCUGAGAGGAUGAACGGCCACAUUGGGACUGAGACACGGCCCAGACUCCUUCGGGAGGCAGCAGUGGGGAAUCUUCCGCAAUGGACGAAAGUCUGACGCAGUAACGCCGCGUGAGUGAUGACGGCCUUCGGGUUGUAAAGUGCUGUUAAUCGGGACGCGGUACCGGAAUAGAAAGCCACGGCUAACUACGUGCCAGCAGCCGCGGUAAUUCC
rnacentral:rRNA from 1 species